AAAUAGGCAAACCAUAGGUUUCCGCAUCAACGUUUGACUGUCCGUCUUAUAUGAAACUUUUUUUAUAAUUAGUAUUUUCAUUGUUGUUAGAUGAUAAAACACGAUUAAUACUUUACGCGUGACUUAUCUUUUUAAUUUUUUAUAAUUUUUUUAAAUAAGACGGCCGGUUGACACGGAAACCAGUGUUCGUCUUUUUU
rfam:Oryza barthii chromosome 10, whole genome shotgun sequence.